CGACCCUCUGACUACCACUACCUCUGACUACCACUACCCUUUACCACGACCCUCUCAUUACCACUACUUGCUGACUACCACUACUUGCUGACUACCACGACCCUCUGACUACCACUACCUCUGUACUAGUUUAACCCGUUAGUCAGAGUGCUGUACUAGUUUAACCCGUUAGUCAGAGUGCUGUACUAGUUUAACUAGUUUAAGUGAUAUCACCCGUUAGUCAGAGUGAUCUACCCGUUAGUCAGAGUGCUGUACUAGUUUAACUAGUUUAAGUGAUAUCACCCGUUAGUGAGAGUGCUGUGCUAGUUUUACUAGUUUAAAUGAUAUCACUGGUUAGUCAGAGUGCUGUACUAGUUAAACUAGUAUCACCCGUUAGUCAGAGUGCUGUACUAGUUUAACCCGUUAUUAGUAGUGCUAGUGCUGUACUAGUUUAACUAGUUUAACCCGUUAGUCAGUGCUGUACUAGUUUAACCCGUUAGUCAGAGUGCUGUACUAUGCUGUAUAGUUUAACCCGUUAGUCAGAGUGCUGUACUAGUUAAACUAGUAUCACCCGUUAGUCAGAGUGCUGUACUAGUUUAACCCGUUAGUCAGAGUGCUGUACUAGUUUAACUAGUUUAACUGGUAUCACCCGUUAGUCAGAGUGCUGUACUAGUUUAACUAGUUUAACUAGUAUCACCCGUUAGUCAGUGAUCUACCCGUUAGUCAGAGUGCUGUACUAGUUUAACUAGUUUAACUGGUAUCACCCGUUAGUCAGAGUGCUGUACUAGUUUAACUAGUUUAACUAGUAUCACCCGUUAGUCAGUGAUCACCCGUUAGUCAGAGUGCUGUACUAGUUUAACUAGUUUAACUGGUAUCACCCGUUAGUCAGAGUGCUGUACUAGUUUAACUAGUUUAACUAGUAUCACCCGUUAGUCAGUGAUCUACCCGUUAGUCAGAGUGCUGUACUAAUUUAAGUGAUGGUUGGUCGUAGUUCUCCAACCUGUAAACUGUAAAGGGAACAGAUCACAUGUUAAUGGUUGAAUAUUUACCCAUGUGGUCAUUUGGUCUGUUCGGUCAUCAGUUUGGAAGCCUUUCUUUCGGCCUCUGGAAGUAACGUGUGAUAUGAAAUACGUAGUUUUCAAACAAUAUGCCGUAAUAUAGAAAUACCUAACAGCCAAUCUGCUUGCUCCUAUCCCUUGACAUGUUCUUCCUGUCAGAUGGAUUAUAGAAGCUGUACUGUAUUGCUGCCAUUAAGUUACUGUACAUUUUACAGGAAAU
ensembl:lncRNA